GAUUGUAGUUGCCCGGGGAAAGGAGGAGAAUUCUGCUGAGAGUACCAAACACUAGAAUUCUGUCUUGGUGCCUGGAUUUGGACUCUUCUCUUACCUGAUUAUUCAAUUGUAACUUGGAACUGUAAUAGUGACUUAGUGAAAGGUGUGUAAUGCCAUUUUUUUUUUUUUACUUUUAUCGAAUCCUUUUUAUUUCAUUCUAUGGCAUAAGCCUGGCUUGCAUUAUUUGCUAGAAUUUCUGCUCUCUG